rnacentral:rRNA from 1 species
AGGGUUUGAUUAUGGCUCAGGAUGAACGCUGGCGGCGUGCUUAACACAUGCAAGUCGAACGAAGCACUUGAUUUGAUUUUCUUCGGAGAUGAAGAUCCUGUGACUGAGUGGCGGACGGGUGAGUAACGCGUGGGCAACCUGCCUUGUACAGGGGGAUAACAGUUAGAAAUGACUGCUAAUACCGCAUAAGACCACAGCAUCACAUGAUGCAGGGGUAAAAACUGAGGUGGUACAAGAUGGGCCCGCGUCUGAUUAGCUGGUUGGUGAGGUAACGGCUCACCAAGGCGACGAUCAGUAGCCGACCUGAGAGGGUGACCGGCCACAUUGGGACUGAGACACGGCCCAA